UGUCAAUCUCGCCAGUGAGCACACAAAUGGUUUUUCUUCCGUCUCUGUUCUCACUCUCGCUCGUGCUCCGAGCUGACAACUCUCCACCCUCAACCACCAUCAACAACUCUCGUUCUCCUUCCCGACUGCUGCCUUUAACAGAGCGACAGGAACACUAAUACCAAUGUCAAAACGUGGACCUUGGGGUGUUGUGUUUUCCCGGAACGCAAAGGAAAGUUGGCGCGGGCAAGGCGUGAAUGGAGUCGGAAGUCGUUACUCACGACGCUGAAGCUGGCUUUGGAAGCCUUUGAGUGUGAAGCUGGCAGGUCACAGUCGUGACAGCACCAAUUACUUGCAUCACCUCCCGAUCAAUCUUCCUUAAAGACGCCCGUACGUCCUCCUUUUUUGGGGCUAAAAAUACCAACCUCACAAUCGUUUGCGUACUACGCCGGCUUAUAACGAGGGGCGGCAUCGCCGUGCCAACCUGGAACCGGCUGAAAUCCCCCCUACUUUAGUAAGUCUUUAAUGUUGUCGGGACGCUUCUCGCGUUAGCGUUAGCAUUGGCAAAAAGUUUCCAUGCAGACUAGGGAUGAUGUUCGAAACCGAUUCUCCCGGUUGUUCGAUAAGAAAAGAACCGAUUCCAUGGACUCGAAUCCCUUUUUGAGAACCGGUUCCCGUUAUCGAGACCACUAUAGUAAAGAAAAAGAGUUGGUUCUUUAUUCGAAUCCCUGAGAUCCCACAGGAAAUGCCCUGUGGGACAGCAAUGUUAUGCCCAUUUGAUUGUAGACUCUUACUGACACCUUGUGGCGAUAUGAAAAUACUACGGGUCAUUAGUUUGGGCACUUCCAGGUUGAGACAAUUGAGAAGUAGACAAGUUGUGUUAGCUCCUACAAGCCUUGGAAAAGAUAAGUCUGUAAGUAAACUGUUUAACUUGUUUAUGUAACUUAAUAUUAAUGUGGAAAGUGGUUCAAUUUGAUACUAAGAUGUUUAUUGAAAAACUAUUUUUGUGCACUGUUUCAAUGGAUGUUUUGAGGACUUAAAAUGGCUGCCAGUCGUGUAUUUCCACCAUCGAAAUAGUUUCAACACUCAGAAGUAUUU